rnacentral:rRNA from 1 species
UGCGCAGGCGGUUUUGUAAGACAGGUGUGAAAUCCCCGGGCUUAACCUGGGAGCUGCGCUUGUGACUGCAAGGCUAGAGUACGGCAGAGGGGGUGGAAUUCCACGUGUAGCAGUGAAAUGCGUAGAUAUGUGGAGGAACACCGAUGGCGAAGGCAGCCCCCUGGGCCGAUACUGACGCUCAUGCACGAAAGCGUGGGAGCAAACA